rnacentral:pre_miRNA from 1 species
AGUAUAACUGUGGAUAUUAUGGCAACAAUUUAGUUUAUAAGAAACUUCCAAGUUGUCUUCUAAAAUGGCUGUACCAUUAUACAUUUCCACCAGCAGU